CUCCAUAUCAGGACUUGGAUUAUCCAGAGCUUGUCUGCACCACACAAUGGGACUCAAGGCUUUUUGUAGAGGACUGUUCAAUUUUGCCUCAUAUAACCUGCGAACACACAACCAAGAGCAUUAAUAAAUGAACAGCAAACAAUGACCCUCUAUGGCUGCAGGAUCUAAGCCGAGAGGUUCAAACUUCUGCUUCCAGAGUGCCAUCCCUUUAAGCUCGCUUAGAUGAUACAGCAAAGCCUCAGAGCCACUGUGACUAAUAACUAGUUUCUGGAUGCCGGAGUAGGACGACUCAGUGGAUUGACCCAACAUCUUCAAUCCCUAAAAAGAAACAAAAACAAUACUAUAAAAACAUACAAUAAGGCUGGUAUAACUGUUUCAGAGAACCUGUUCAGAUAAAUUCACCUUGACUGUAAGUUGAUUCAUAAG